rnacentral:lncRNA from 1 species
UCAAUAAUAUUAAUCUCAUUAUCCUUGUUAUUCUCUCAUAUUCUUUUGCUAUUAGGCUAGUUUUAUAACACGUUAUCAGCACGAAAGUGCUCUCUCCUAAAGCUCCCACAAGUGAUUUUUUUUUCAUCUUUCAUCGAAGUAUAGAAUCCAUGGAAGCGCUCACCGCUGUGGGAAUUUUGGGAAUUCAUUCCCGUUGUUCAUGCGAAAAAAAAGAGGAAACUGCCCCAGAAACCAGGUAACUGACUCUUUAAUUUUGUAGGGAACUACGUUGCAGAGAUAGUCCAAACCUUUUGAUUUAUUAACUAAUUAAUUCUUUUGAAAAAAAAAAUCAACAUAAACUGCCUAUUGGUGAGCUAUAAUUUUUUAAGAGAACUCUUUUUAUCAAUUAUUAAAUUGCUGGUAUGUGUAUGGUGGGAUUGAAACUGUUGACGGUUAUAUUAUGUCAAUCCCUAAAAAAAAAAAUUCACCAUUAUUGUCGGCGGUUAAAUCGGAGCUAAGUCAAAAAGUUUCCGUUACGUAACUUUAUUUAACUAAUAUCCAUAUUAAUUGUUUUCUUUCCUAAUUUCUUUUAGAUCAUAAAGCUAACAAUAUUAGCUUAAAAAAUAACAGAUCAUAUCAUGCGACAUAAGUUUGAUUUAUUAUUGUCAUAUAAAUUUAAAUCAUAUGAUUGAAUAUUAAUUGAAUGGGAGCAUAGUGUAUGCCAUAUAUGCUAUAGAUUUUUAACUAAAAAUUAAAAAUCCAUAAAUUUAAAUUUAACCAAAAUCAAAACUUUGCAAAUUUAAAUCAAGCAUAUAUUAAUUUUAACUAAUAUUAAAACUUUGCGAUGUAUGCUAUAAUUUUAUAAUUAUAGUUUUAAUCGUUGUGAUCAUCCUACAGAUAGGAAAUAACUAUAACAUAAUAAUAACCAAACUAUUAUUUAUGGUUAAAGUUGUAUAUGGCUAUGUUUAUUUAAAUGUUUGAAGUAUAAAGCAAACUAUGAUAGUCAUAUUUUAAUACUAGUUCUAAAGAUAACCGUAUUGUAAGUUUAUCAAUUGUUCAAUGGUUUCUUUCUGUUGGAAUUUGGAGUAAUCUAAAUUGCAAUAUUUGCUAUUAAUUAUUACUUGAUCUUGUUACUAUACAAUGGUUGAUUUGUUAUAUCGUAGUAUUCAUAUUCGUAUUUAUAUGUAAAAUAUAUGGUUGAUUUGUUAUACCAUGAUAGGUAAAUAUUUUAGUUAUAUAUUUUCUAUUUAGUUGAAAAAAAAAGACAUAUUUGUUUCAUAAAGUUUAAACAUAACUUGUUUUAUAUAACUGUGUGUAUUGUAUAAAUUGAUUUUACGUUAUACCUUUUACUAUAUAUGCUACCACUUAAGGUAGUACUGAAUAUAACAAGUAAAAGACCAAGUUUGUGGUUAAUUAUCACCCUUAUGGAAUAUUAUAUACAAGUUUAUACUAUGCUAAAGAUUCAUUUAUACCAUGACACUUGAGGUGUCGAACUUCCAAAAUAUCAUUAUCAAACUAUAAAAGGUCACAAUGUUUUUACACUGAUUAAGUACUUCUCAAUGAAUAUUAUGUGUCAAGAAGUUUAUUUGUAAGGGAAAUAGAUAAAACAAUUUUCCUUUGUCAUACUAGAGAUAUGCUCUUGAAGUAGCAAUACCAUUAAAAGGGUAUGAAAAGAUCGAAAUGAUUUUACAUUUGUGUGACCGAGUAAUGAAUAAAAGCUCUAAAGCUUGUUUCGGUUCAACUACAUUUCUCUGAAGCGAAUGCGAUUUUAUAUUGAAUUGUGUAAAGAUAACAAUCAUGGAGAGAAUCAACCAUGAGAAUUGUAAUGAUAAUGAGAUUGACCACUAGAAGUGGCAAAUUAAGGGGGUGCUUUCAUGAGGAUAAAAUGUGAAAAAAAAGAUACAAAGUGAUAUGACAUGAAUGUUUGAAAUGAUAAUAUAUUGUUCUCUUACAUCUUAUGUCUUGAGUUAGCAUAAGUAAUAAUAGAUAUUGAUCAUAAACCAAAAGUUUAUGGAUCAUGAUUAUUUGAUUAAUUGGCAUGACUGGUUAGACCACACUGAGUCAAUAAUUAUGUGAAAUUUAUAGAAGAACCAGAAUAUUCUUCCUGAUUAGUGCAUGGAAUGUUUGCUCUCAAAUGAAGUGGAUUAUCAACUAAGUUAGGGUGUGAAUCCCUAACAUUCCGAAAAUGAUUAAAGGCUAUUAAUAUGCCAAAAUGAUACCAUUUAGUGUUUUGAAUCGAUGCAUCGUCUAAAUGGUCAUCAAAUCCACAACAUGAAGUUUGUGUGAUUAUGGCUUAGCUAAUGUGAUAGCAAGCAUAUUAUUCUAGAUUGGCAUAUUUAUUUUGGUUUUGACGGUGAAUUUAAUUUCCAAGUUAUUAAAGAUCAUUGGAAUAAGUGUUAUUGUUGAGGUGAUCACUAAACGUAUACUAUAGAUUACAAAGCCAUUGAUUAUGAGAGGAGCAAAAGUUCAUUUAGUUCUCCCCAUACAGUUGGUUUUUGGUCAGGAACCAAAGAUGUCUCAUCAAAGAUUUUGGUUGUGCAACAUAUAUUGAAACUCAUCCAUCACACUGCAUAAAUAUGGGACUUCUAAAAAAUUUGAGAAUAUGUUGGGUAUAAAUAAUCGUCUAUGAUUGAAUACUUAAAGCCAUUAGUGAGAAAUUUGUUUAUGGCUCAUUGGUUUUCACUUUAGUGAAUGAAUGUUCCCAACAUUAGGGGGAGAUAACAAGCAGUUGGAAAGUGAAAAGUGAAAUGAAUUAUCAUGUCAUCUUGAUCCUCAGACUAUAAACUAUGAACUAGAAGUUUAAAGUAUAAUUCAUUUACCAAUAUUAAAGAACAAAUUACCAGACAAGUUCACUGACCUAAAUAGAGUGACUAAGUAAGUCACAUAAUCAACUGCUUAUGCUCCAGUUAUAUUUGUGUCCUAAGAGGACAACCACAUAUUUUGUAAUGAGUCUAUUGCACGCCUAAAGCAUGGUAGACUAGUUGAUUCCAAUAAAUAAAUUCCUCGAAAAUUGGAGCAAGUAAUUAAGAUGGUCAAGUCGAGGUUAUAAUAAUAAGAUCUCACGAAGAGAGAGUAGACAUGAUGGUUCAAGAAGAACCUCAGGUACCUGAAAAUAAAGAGAUCUCGAUAAGUUGUAUCAUGUCUAAAAAUGUAUGGAAUCAAAAUAAAAAUCGACGUCGUUAUACUUUUGUAUAUAAUAUAGCGCUUAAAAUGAUUAAAUGACGAGGAUCAAGAUGUGAGAUUUGUCUAUGAAUGUAAACAUAGAAAUGAUUGGCCAAAAUGUAAAGACGCAAAUAAGGCAGAGUUGAAUUCUCUAAUGAUAUAGAAAGUUUCUGGACCAACAGUCCAUAUAACUGAAGUUGUAAAAUAUGUUGGAUACAAAUGGGUAUCUUAUGCGAAUCAUGUGAACAUCAGACUAAGUGAUCUAAGUGAUAUGUUGGUGGUACAAGAAUUUUCGCAAAGACCUAUGAUUGAUUAUGAGGAGACGUGUUCUCUAGUGGUGGAUGCAUUGACUUCCCAAUAUUUUAUUAGUCUGGUAAUAUAGAGAGAGAAUUGAUAUGCGUCUUAUGAAUGUUAUGUAUCUCUUGAUACUAAAAGUGUACAUGAAGGUCCCUAAAGGAUUUGAAUGAUCAAAAUCAUGUAAGGUUAAGUUCUUGAGAACAAUCUGAGUGUUGUAUACAGAUUCAUUUUUGAAUGCGAUUGAACUCUUGAAGAGUUUCCUA